AUACGGAGGAUCCGAGCGUUAUCCGGAUUUAUUGGGUUUAAAGGGUGCGCAGGCGGCCAUUUAAGUCAGCGGUUAAAUCGUGGGGCUCAACCCCAUUCUGCCGUUGAUACUGGGUGGCUUGAUUGCGGUCGAGGUUGGCGGAAUUCGUUGUGUAGCGGUGAAAUGCUUAGAUAUGACGAAGAACACCGAUUGCGUAGGCAGCUGACCAGACCGCAAAUGACGCUCAUGCACGAAAGUGCGGGGAUCGGACAGGAUUAGAUACCCUGGUAGUCCGCACAGUAAACGAUGAAUACUUGUUUUCGGCGAUAUAAUGUCGGAGGCAAAGCGAAAGCGAUAAGUAUUCCACCUGGGGAGUACGCCGGCAACGGUGAAACUCAAAUGAAUUGACGGGG
rnacentral:rRNA from 1 species